CGUAACAAGGUAGCUGUAGGUGAACCUGCUGCUGGAUCAUUACCCACGUGAU
rnacentral:rRNA from 1 species